GCGCCAGUAGCCCAGCGGAUUAGAGCAUCUGACUACGGAUCAGAAGGUCGCAGGUUCGAAUCCUGUCUGGCGCACCA
rnacentral:tRNA from 4 species